UUUAUACAGAAAGAACAACUCUAAUUUGACCUUAAAUUUCCAUGAAAUAUCCCUCCAAUGCUGCCACAAUAACAAAAAGGCGAAACUAGCGAUCAAUUAGUGUUUUUCGGCACUAGAAUCACUUUAGAAGGCUUGAAAUCACCUAGGAUUGAUAUUAAGAACAUGAGGGAGUAUUUACAGAACAUGAACCCUUUAAAACAACCUCCCACACGAGCUGGAACGACACAAAAAUGAGCAACAACAAGAAGAACAAGAGACUUACUAGCGCCACGGAAUUCCCGACACUUGAUUUGUGUUGUUUGCCCUUUUUUGGGUCUUGAAUCUUGAGAUAACCUUGAGAGGAUGUUCCUAGUGUUCUAAGGUCUGAAAAUAGUGAGAAGAAAUGACUUAAAACGGGUUGGAGGCAUCCUAUAUAGGUCCAAAUAUCUUAAACCGCCUUAGUGGGCCCCAUAGAGAGGUGCUUGGCGCAGUCUCGCAAAAAUGUGAAUAUCUCUCUACUCCGAGAUCGUAUCGAUGAACGGUUUAAUGCGUUGGAAACUAGACUCAUAGAUCUUUAAUUUGGUUGUAGAUCACCCCGUAAUUCCUUGUAAAUUAUGAGAAAAGAUUAGAAACAUUUGACCUAAUGUUUAAGUAAAAUUAUGAACCUAAGUUGCGACAACUUUUGUUGACUUUUGUUUCAUAACUCGUUUGACUUCAAGACUUAUGAUACGGAUAUUAUAUGAUUAAAAUACCUUAAUAAAUGACCUCUUGAGUGUAUUAAGCACCGCUAGAUUACCUGAAAAUACGAGUUACAACAUCCUUGAUUCGUUUAACUUCUAAUACUGGUUAAUCACCCUUAUACACUCUUGUAUCACUUAAGACCAAUAGGAUUGACUUCUUAUCAUCUCAAAGAUAAUUCCUUCUUGGAUUUAUGUUAACUAAUAUAUGGUAUGAACUAACACAUGUGGAUAUGGGUUGUAACAUUACCGUUAUCUCGCCCCUCCCCAAACUGUAUAAGAGUUGAUCACCGUAUAAGCUAUACUUAUACUUCAUUCAAAUGUCAAACCCCCCAAAAAGACAGAAACAACACGAUCUAAGGAAGAGAAAGAACACUUCGAUAAAAAGGCAAGAAUAUGAAAAAAAUGUAAAAACAUAUUUCCUAAGCAUUGCAAUGUUGCUGCAAAUAAGUCAUUUUCUGAUUAUUAAAAUGUUGCUUGUAUGUUAAAUGUAUUAGUCACUCGUAAAUCAGAACAUGAAAGAGUAGAGUAGGAAAUGAUAAUAGGCAAAUAUAGUAAUACUAAAAUACAAAAGUUCGGUAUAAUCAAAUGAAAAUAUGAAUUAACAGGAAGUUAAGAAUCUAAUAAUCGAAACUCCAUAUGACUAAACUAUAAUGAAUAUUUAGAGACAUUGUAUAAUUGAACGAUCACAAUUAGUUAAGGCCGUUUUGUUUCGUUUUUCUCCACACUAUACAAGAGUGUAAAAGAAUUACUGACCUGCAUCUAUUGAGUGGUUUGUUCUGCAACCAUGGAAAAUAUACCUCUACAGGGUUUUUUGUCGAACACUUCAUGGGCGUCAGUGUAACAUGCCCUGUUAAUUUGAUUUGUUCACAGAAUAAACUUAGUAAGCACUUGCAAUAAGCAACAGUUAAAAAUUUUGUGAAAAUAUUCAUUGAAUAAUAAAAAAUCAAAAUAUUAAUAUAUUGAAAUUGGAAAUAGAUAAUAGUAGAGGUACCUUCAUCUUGCAGGUAGCGGAGAAAAUAAACUAAACAUGAAAGAGAAUAACUAUGUUCCAAAAUCAUAAAGAAGAGAUUUACCUUGAGAAUCGAGAGAAACAACUCCUCUGUGUCGAUUGGGAAAAUAGAAUGAGUAAUAAAUACAGAGGAUUGAAGAGAAAGCAAGUAUGGUAAUUAAGAGAGGGAGAGUAAGCGACUGUUACGAAAGGCAUUUAAGGAGAAGCGACUGUUGGGGGUUUCUGCCUUUUGACACGACAGUAACCGAUGGAAUUUACAGAAAUACGGGACUGUUUAUUUCUCAAUAUAAACUAUUUUUUGUUCGUUUAAAACGGCAAAGCUCUAAGAAAAGAGAAAAAUAGAAACCCUAGUAUUUGAGAUAUGUCAC
rnacentral:lncRNA from 1 species